ACUCUUCAGUUCAUUGAUAUUGUUUGUCUCAGUUUGCAAAGCUGUUUAGUUUUGUUUCAUGUUGAUUUAAUUUCUAUUGCCAUUGGCAACCUUGGCUUCUGAUUUCAGUGCUAUGCCCUGUCAUGUCACUGCUCCAACGGAGUCCCUGAUCCUUCUGACUGCACCCUGAUCUGUCAUCUCCCUGGCUCCGCAACAUACUUCCAGACUUCUGGUUCAGCAGCAUAACCUUUGUUUUCCAGCAUUCUAGCUCCAUAUUAGUGUCCAGGCUUCCUUACUGUUCAUUAGUCUUGUAUCUCCUGGCUGCACAAUGGGACUACAUCCAUCUGGCUCCAUCAAGGUCCACUCAAGUGUCACUUGCUCCGUCUUGAUCUCCACCAUUACUGGCUUUGACUUGGUCUUCUCCGUCCUUGGAUCCAAGUGGAUCUCCAACCAUCUAGUUCCAUCUAGACAUCUUCUCUGCCAUUCUUACUCAACAAAAAAAUCUUCACAGAGACUUAAUCUCUGCGAUCUUCAUCAUUCCCACCGACUCCACCUCAGUCUGCCGAUCUUCUGUCUUCACCUUGGCCCUCCAGUCCAGUGGCAUUAUACUGGUUCUCCAGCAGUUUGGCACCAUCUUGGUCUCCAGCUUUCCUGAUUUCACCUUGGUCUUCCAUCUACUCAACUCUGUCCUGGUUUGCCUCAUCCAUGGCUCCACAGUCUCUCUAUCUUUGUGGCUCCAUCAAAGCAUCCCUCCCUCCCAGUUUUGCUAAACAAGACAUCUUUACAGAUACAUGAUCUCCACCAUCUUCAACACUCCCACUGGCUCUUCCUCGGUCUGCAGAUCUUCUACAUCCACCUAGGCCCUCAAGCCCUGCUGUAUUACCCUGGUUGUCCAGUCAUCUGGUUACAUCCAUCUUGGUAUCAAGACAUCCUGACUCUGCCUUGGCCUUCUGUCUGGUCUGCACAGCCUGAGGAUCGACAAUGGGUCUCCAUUGCUCCGGUUCCAUCAAGGCAUCCCACUAUGCCAUUUCUGCCAUGACACCCUAAAUUACUUUUACAGUGGUCUCUUCUUCCACUGCACACCCGUGACCUCUUCCUUCACCACUUGUGCAGUAGUCUCUUCCUCUGCCAGCUCCACUGUAGUCUCUUACCCCCACCAUCACACUGGCUGUUUAAAAGUCAAAAGCUGCCUUUUGGAAAGGCAGGUACUUUCAUGUUCUGUUUCUGCUCAAGGAGUUUAUAUUUAUAUUUAGUUCCUGUUUUCUGAGGUGCCAAUAUACAUUUUCACUGUGUUUUGAUUUGUUUAAUUAGUUGCAUAUUAUGUUAACCUGUGUUUAUUGAAUUUAUUGUUAUUUAUAUGUAUGUAUUUGAUAUUUCCUAAAUCUUUCCAGAGCUAUUUUUUUUUGUUUUUUGUUUUUUUUUGUUUGUUUUUUGUUUGUAUUUUCUGUGCUUUGAAUAAUUUUAUUAAUUAGAUUAAUAAAAGGACUGUUAACAAGCCUCUGCUUUCCUUGCUGGCCUGGAUGUAACAAUAUCCUUGAGAAAAGCAAUUGAGAUGGUCCAGAUACACGUGUUUUGUAUCUGAAACUACAUAUCAUUACAUCAUUUCACUUUAAAACAUAAAAUGGCA
ensembl:lncRNA